AUGUCAGGAAUAAAGAAGAUCCAUAACCAGCUAGCAUAUAAUAUUGAAGCUUACAUAAAUGGCACAAAAUAUAUAAUAGAUGAAAUUACAAUAAGAGAUUUGUCAGUAAUAAAUGAUGACAUGAUAAUAGGGUUAAGAUUUUUACAACAAUCUUUACAAACCACAAUCAUACAUGAAGAGGGGGUAACAUUUAUUCCUUAUCAAGAUAAUGUUCCAUACAUAUCUGAAGUGCAAAAACAAAGAAAGUCCUUGCAAAAUGUAGAAAUAUCUAAUUUAGAUGAUGAAUAUAGCACAAGUCCAGAUCCCCUUGAAUUCUGUAAAGACGAAGAACUUAGUGAGACCAUAGAAGAAUAUCAUAUAGAAAAUACAUGUACUGAAUGCAUUGGGUUGCAAUCAUUCUCUCCAAAUUGGUAUAGAGAUAUAAAAUCCAAAAAGGAUAUAGAUAAGAUUGUGCAAAGACUAGAAAGUAUACAAAUUAUUGGAGAAAUACCAAUGAAACAUUGGGAUAAGAACUCUAUAGUUUGCAAAAUAAAUAUCAUAAAUCCAGAUUAUAUAAUUAAGUCAGGACCAAUAGAAGCAACUCCUAAAGAUAUCGAAGAGUUCAAAAUGCAUAUUGAAGAGUUAUUAAAGUUAAAAGCUAUAAGAGAAAGCAGAAGCCCUCAUCGAUCUGCUGCUUUUAUAGUUAGAAAUCAUGCUGAAGAAGUUAGAGGUAAAUCUAGAAUGGUAAUUAACUUUAAAAGGCUUAAUGAUAAUACAGUUGACGAUGCAUACAACAUACCUAAUAAGCAGGAAUGGAUUAACAGAAUACAAGGAAGUAAAUAUUUCUCCAAAUUCGAUUUAAAGGCAGGAUUUUGGCAAGUAAAAAUGGCUGAAGAAUCUAUUCCAUGGACAGCAUUUACUUGUCCACAAGGCCAUUAUGAAUGGCUAGUAAUGCCAUUAGGCCUAAAGAAUGCACCUGCACUAUUUCAAAGAAAGAUUCAAAAUAUAUUUAAUGAGAAUCAAGCAUUUAUAUUAGUAUACGUAGAUGAUUUGUUAGUAUUCUCAAAAUCAUACAAAGAGCAUAUAGCCCAUCUUGAAGUGUUCUUUCGAAAGGUAGAACAAAACGGGCUCAUACUAUCUAAAAAGAAGAUGGAGAUUUGCAAAGAGAAAAUAAAUUUCCUUGGUCAUGAAAUAGGAGAAGGAAAAAUAUAUCUACAAGAACAUAUUGCAAAGAAAAUAUUAGAGUUUCCUGAUAAUAUGAGUGAUAAAAAGGUUUUACAACAGUUCUUAGGAAUUGUAAACUAUGCGCGAAACUAUAUAGAUAACUUAGCAAAGCUAGCAGGACCUUUAUAUGCUAAAUUAAGAAAAAAUGGUCAAAGAUACUUCAAUUCUGAAGAUAUAAAAUUAGUAAAGGCCAUCAAGGAAAAGGUCAGGAAUUUAAAACCCCUAGAAUUGCCUUUAGAAGACAAUUAUUUUAUAAUUGAGACAGAUGCAUCUAAGGUAGGAUGGGGUGCGAUACUAAAACAAAAGCCCAAUAAAUACUCUCCAAAGGCAGACGAAAAAAUAUGUAGAUAUGCUUCAGGAAGUUACAAAUUAAAGACGGUAAAUAAUAUUGAUAGAGAAAUUCUUGCAGUUGUAAAUGCAAUAAAUGCAUUUAGGUUAUAUCUAGGAUUUAAAGAAUUUACAGUACGAACAGACUGUGAAGCCAUAUGCCGAUAUUACAAUAAAAUUAAUAGUAAGAAAAGCUCAACCAGAAGAUGGGUCUUAUUUGAAGACACCAUAGCUGGGAAUGGUUAUAAAGUUAUUUUUGAGCAUAUUAAGGGGAAGGAUAAUACCUUACCUGACAUAUUUUCUCGUGCAUCAAAUUUGCAGGAAUGA
rnacentral:rRNA from 1 species